rnacentral:lncRNA from 1 species
CCUGAACUGGGCAUUUACCCCAUCUUUAAAUUCUCCAUGUUGCAUUUAGUAGUGCUGAUGCUUUGAUUUACGAGCUGCAGCUUGUCUGGCAGGUGCUGCAGCUGGCCAAAGCCUGCAGCUUCUCCUUCAGCGGCCAACCAGGGUUUAAUUGUUGCAUUGCUCAAUUCUCAGCUGAGCUGACAAAAAGUUUGCAGCAGUCAGCCUAAGCGAUAAGGCUGAUUGAUUGAGUUUAUGGGAGUUCUGUCUAUGCGUCUCCGAUAAAGCCUGCAGAAAGCAUGCAGGCUUGACUCCUCCCCUGAAUAAGAAACUCUGGAGACAGAGGCUUUGAAGGAAGCAGYAUUUAAAGCUGUGGGUAGUUACCAGCUGCCUUCACUAAAUGGAGYCCUUUUCUCACAUGUGGUGAAUGGAAGAAGUGACUGAGAUUUGCAUUUUUGGCUGGYGCUGGCUAAGAGGCAAGAAGCAGCACAGCAACUCAAACAGAAACAGCAGGUCUGCGGCUCUGAGCACGGGGGAGGAAGGGGAAGCAGCGAGCACAUCGGCGAGGGGAAGGAUGUAACUAUGUGUCACAGGGUGACUUUGUCUAGCAGGACCUACCUCCCAAGCCAAGCCCCACCAGUGGGCUGGAAAAGGCCUGGAAAAAACCCAGAGACUUCCAAAACAAACAAGAAAAGAGGCUCACUUGAUCAGUCUGAGUGCCAGCCCCACCCUGGGGUGUGGAAUAAACACAGGUGUACCUACCAUCAGUGGGAUGACAUGAAUUUGUGUUUCCCGACUAGGAAACCUACGCGGUCCCAGAGACAAGCCACUGCAGGAUACGUUGCUUCUUACCAGCCAUAA